GGCACAGCAGCAGUGGCCAUCAACAGGGUGGAUUUCAAGUUAGGGAACAAGCUUGUUUCACAUGUAAGUCCUUCUCCCUCUCCCUCCCCCACCCCAACCUACCCCCACCCCAUCCACCCACCACUCCCCAGGCAGGGUAGGGCCCUCAACCAGGGUUCUGCAAAGUCCACCAAAUCUUCCUGAGCUGGGCCUGGGCCCUUCCCCAUGUGUCCAGGCCAAGAGUGCACCCUUCAUGUGGGAUGGCCUCUCAAAGUCCCUUCUUACACCAGGGAAAAAUACUAAUCCACUACCAGAGGCUCCCUGGAGUGCAGAGGCCUCCUUAUUGACAUCCAUGUUCAGGGGUCUGGAUCAGUCUUGUACUGACUUCCCAGACAGCAUCUGGGGUUGAUGUGCUCUCCCUUGUUCAGGCCAAUUGUUUCUGUGGGUUUCUCCAACCUGGUACAGACCCCUUUGCUCUUCAUUCCUCCCUCUCUUCAACUAAAUUCCAGAUUUCAGCUCAGUGUAUAUCUGUGGAUGUCUGUCUCUGCUUCCAUCAGCUACUGGAUGAGGGCUCUCGUUAUGGAUCAGGUCGGCCGGGAGUAAAGUAUCUUAAAACACACUAAUUUGUUGCUAAUUUGCUACAAUGGAUCAACCAAUACAAACAUAUUAUUUUGUGCUAAAGUUUAUAAUUUACCCUGAUUUCCUCAAUUUCUCCCUAAGGUCCUUUAAAUGUCUUGGGACACCCCCCACCAAUGGCCUUUUGUUAUCAUCGCUGGUGAUGUUCGCUUAUUUCUACUGUCAUGCAAUAUCCUUUGUAUCACAGUCGGUUUUAUUUUAUUUAGAGAUUUAUUUAUUUUAUAUAUAUGGGUGUUUUGCCUCCAUGUACAUCUAUGUACCAUGUUCAUGCAUGUUGCCAAGAAGAAGGCAUCACACUCCUGGAGCUGGGAUUACAGAUUGUUGUGAGCCACUCCAUGGGUGCUGGGAAUUGAACCCAGGUUCUCCAGAAGUGCUCUCAACUGCUGAGCGAUCUCUCCAGCACUUGUGACUGUUUUUAAUGUUAACUUGCCACAAAUUAGAACCACCUGACUAUGGAGCUUCACCUGGAGAAGUGUCCUGGUGACCCUGAACAUGGGUGGUACCUUCUGGUAGCAGUCCUGAUGAAAAGAGUGUGUGUGGCGAGAAAGAUCUAUCUGGCUUUUGCUCCUUGGCCUUCCUUUUGUAAGACAGUUAAUUUGCCCUGUUGCUGCUGCUGAUUUCUUUGCUGACAUCAGAGCAAGUGUUCCCAAGCAUUCUUAGCCGACUAGGGACCAGUGGCUCCAGGAACCUUCUGAGCUUCCAACACAAGAUUGGGAGUGCUGAAUCACCCUGUCUCAAAGGCCAUAUAAUGAGGUAUCAUGAUUUUUUUUUCCAGCUAUGCUGAGGGGCAAUAUGCAGAUGUCAGGAUCAAUUGUGUAUUGUCAAUGUCAAAAAUCAUCAUGCACAAUGAUUUUUAAUAGUAGGUGUGUUUACUGCUAUUAUUUGAUUCCAGUGCUGGGGAUUGAGUCCAGGGCCUCACACAUGCUGAUCAAGCACCUCUGAACUGCAUUCCCAGUCCUGCCUACAAUUCUGAAUACAAGAAAGCUUUGUAGCUUCUCGUUCUUUGCUACACAGUCUUGUAACUUUCCAGCUUGAAACUUCAGGCAAAUCUUCCUGAAGAUAUCAAGUUCAGUAUCUUGCCAGAUUCACGAACUGUUCUGCCAUCGGUCGCAAUAAUUUAUAUAUUAACAUCACAUAUCCUUCAUAUUCAAAACCUCAGUCUUUCACAGUACAUUAACAAAGCUACUAGAAAAACUGGAGUGCUGUGGCCAUAGUGUUGAAAGGGGCACACAAUGAGGUGGAAUAAGAAAGGAGCCAAAAACAAAACUGUUCUCUCUGAAAGAAAUAAUUCUAUCUAAGUCAACCGUCUCCUGUGACACUCUGAAGGAUGAUAUAUGACUCUGCAUAUGCAAUUGUCAGGGCCCAUAAAGAUGGCUCCGCGUCAUCUUGGAUCAAGGUCAGAAAGUUCAAUCAAAACUGUCCUUAGUAAGUCAUAAGACCUAAAGGUCUAAGGCAUGACUACUGCAGGAUGUUUUGAUCUUGAUAGUGGAUGUCUUACCUAAAUAACAACAGACUUGGUCUGAAGUGUGGUUACUCUUGACCCUCAAGGCCAGAUAAUGGGAAAUUGAGUCUAAGGUGUGGUUACCAAAUGUUUGGAGGAUUAAAGGAAGACAGUCUGUUUCUUUCUUACACAUGAUAAAGAAGUCUUUUGCCAUGUUCUCUGUUUGGUUGGGGGUACUUAAGAAUGUUGAAGAAUAAACUUGGGGCAUUCAGUAUUCACUGGAUUGCCCUCUUGACUCUAUCCCGUGUCUCUAUCUUUCUCUUAGUGACUUUACCUGCUGUUUCUCAAUCCACACUCCCCCUAUCAGGUGUGAACUGGGCAAAUCGGCUGGAUCCAAAUGAAGUCCCACAAAGACAGGCUACAACAUGCAAUGGUCUCUGUAGGCCACCAGCAGGACUGGGGAUGCUGUCGGCUUCCAGUGCUUCCUCUCGGGCAAUCCUCUUUGUCUUCAUUCCAUGACUCCUUCUGCUGC
ensembl:lncRNA